CUCUCUCUCUCUCUUCUUUCUUUCUUUCUUUCUCUCUCUCUCUCUCUGUGUGUGUUACAACGCAAGGCACCUUAGACCCAUCACUCACGUGGAAAGCGACCGGUUCGUCAACAUUGAUCGAGUCUGUUUGGGAAAUCGUGAGUCACGUCACGGGGCUGAAAGGAAAGUGAAACCGAACCGAUGGCACCGCUUUCAUCGCAUAUUCUGACGAAGCUUGUCAUUACAUCCAUUAGAGCUAAACGCAUUUUGGUGCCAUCGAUGACCUGAACUGAAUUCUAAGAACAAUAUUAGAAGUCCGAGGAAGAGCUAUGAAGUGAUCAUGACUAUAAGUAAUGAAAAUGUGAUGCUGUAGCAUAGUUCAAAGGGCAGGGCGGAAAGAAACAAUAACAGCAUCUAACAACAUGGCUGCCAGUAAGUCACUGUCAUUUAUUGAUCACUUUCAUGUUUGCAUUCAUGCAUUUGACAGAAACAUUUAUCCAAAGCAAUUUAUUGCAAGUUAAACUGCAUCCAUUUCAUGUGUGUUGCCACGAAAUCCAAAAGUUUUCUCCACAUUGAUUCACUGCUUCAUUCAAUCAUAUAUUCAUGCAUUCAUUCAGGUAAUAUCAGUGAAUGGCAGUUGUUUGAUGGAUCUAAGUGGAAUAGUAUCUGUAAUGCUAUUAUUAUUGAAACCCAUUAUUGUCAGCCAGGGGCUUCUGGGAUUACCCUCCACACUAGCAUAGGAUCUCUUUAUAUUGACUUUGAUGCAAUGACAGUCAGUGGAACCUGUGGUAACAUCCUUGUACGACGCAAUACCUUUCUGUCCAACAACCAGAAAGAGGAUGUAGGCUGGUACUAUAAAGACAACCAGCGCUGGUGUCAAUAUGGAGCUCAGGGGGCAGGUGGAAACAAGUCCUCAAUUACAAGUGAUUAUAUAGAGCAGCAGUACAACCAAAACCCAAACGCCUCGGUCCGGUUUACUGCAGGUCACAUGACUUACAUCGUGGACUUCACUGCCAUGACUCAAACCAACCUGUCCACACACAUGAACAGAAAAGUUAGAAGGCGGCCAAAAUUCAACUCAAUAGUAACAGUCAAUAACAGUUCACCAACAUUGCCAUCUCUCUCUGUGACCCCAACAAACUCAUCUACUGAAUGCAUCUGGGAGUUUAUGGGCGAAGAAGGCAUAUGGUCUGAGUAUCAGAAACCAGGAUGUUCACUGGAUAGUCCAGAAGUGGAGAGAUUGUAUCAGCUUAAUCCUCAGUCCCAAGUUUCAUUCACUGCUGGCCGACAAUCUUAUAUACUUGAUUUUAGUGGAAUGCAUCAAGUGAAUAAGAAAUAUGGUACAAAAAGACAUGUGAGGAGAAUAGCAGGUGAAGCCCAGCAAGCAAACAGUCAACUCUCACAAGCUUGCUGGCAGUUCAAAGACAUGGACGGAAACUGGAAGAAUUAUAGGUGGUUCUCGGGGUCAUUCCAGUGUAUCUAGUCAAGAUAUCGAGGCUCAGUACCAGCAACAUGCCGUCAAAAUAAGCUUCAGGGCGGGCAGAUUCAACUAUGAUCUUAACUUCUCAGACAUGACCCAGACAAAUCUGUCCACUUACACCGUAAGAUCUGUACGUCGCAUUGAGCAAUGACCUCACCUGCCAGUUCUUAAUUAUAAUUAUUACUUACAUUUUUAUGUGCAUAUCUCAUGUAUACAACUGCCUUAUAGCCAUUCUUAACCUCUACUGCCCUGUUGAUCAAAUGUUUUUUCAGCAUUAUAAAACAGAUAUCACCAAUCAAUUCUGCCGGAUUGUUAAUAGCUGUGUAUAAACUGCCAUGUUUAUUUUUUUCAAGUGAAUUAUCUAAAUAACAGAGUAUGCCAAUUGCUAUAACUUAUGAUGGAUUUGUUUAACUCAAAAUGCAUUUUAUAAAUAAAUACAAAUUAUAAUUAA